rnacentral:rRNA from 1 species
CCUACGGGAGGCUGCAGUGAGGAAUCUUCGUCAAUGGCCGUAAGGCUGAACCAGCCAAGUCGCGUGAAGGAAGAAGGAUCUAUGGUUUGUAAACUUCUUUUUUAGGGGAAUAAAGGUAUCCACGUGUGUAUAUUUGCAUGUACUUUAUGAAUAAGGAUCGGCUAACUCCGUUCCAGCAGCCGCGGUAAUACGGAGGAUCCGAGCGUUAUCCGGAUUUAUUGGGUUUAAAGGGAGCGUAGAUGGGUUGUUAAGUCAGUUGUGAAAGUUUGCGGCUCAACCGUAAAAUUGCAAUUGAUACUGGCAGUCUUGAGUACAGAUGAGGUAAGCGGAAUUCGUGGUGUAGCGGUGAAAUGCUUAGAUAUCACGAAGAACCCCGAUUGCGAAGGCAGCUUACUAAACUGUGACUGACAUUGAUGCUCGAAAGUGUGGGUAUCAAACAGGAUUAGAUACCCCAGUAGUC